AACGCUGGCGGCGUGCCUAAUACAUGCAAGUCGAGCGAACAGACGAGGAGCUUGCUCCUCUGAUGUUAGCGGCGGACGGGUGAGUAACACGUGGAUAACCUACCUAUAAGACUGGGAUAACUUCGGGAAACCGGAGCUAAUACCGGAUAACAUGUUGAACCGCAUGGUUCAACAGUGAAAGACGGUCUUGCUGUCACUUAUAGAUGGAUCCGCGCCGCAUUAGCUAGUUGGUAAGGUAACGGCUUACCAAGGCAACGAUGCGUAGCCGACCUGAGAGGGUGAUCGGCCACACUGGAACUGAGACACGGUCCAGACUCCUACGGGAGGCAGCAGUAGGGAAUCUUCCGCAAUGGGCGAAAGCCUGACGGAGCAACGCCGCGUGAGUGAAGAAGGUCUUCGGAUCGUAAAACUCUGUUAUUAGGGAAGAACAAAUGUGUAAGUAACUAUGCACGUCUUGACGGUACCUAAUCAGAAAGCCACGGCUAACUACGUG
rnacentral:rRNA from 1 species